rnacentral:rRNA from 1 species
UACGAAGGGUGCAAACGUUGCUCGGAAUUAUUGGGCGUAAAGCGCACGUAGGCGGCUCUGCAAGUUGGAUGUGAAAGCCCUCGGCUCAACCGAGGAAGUGCAUCCAAAACUGCAGAGCUUGAGUACUUAAGAGGAUCGCGGAAUUCCCGGUGUAGAGGUGAAAUUCGUAGAUAUCGGGAGGAACACCAGUGGCGAAGGCGGCGAUCUGGGAAGAUACUGACGCUGAGGUGCGAAAGCGUGGGGAGCAAACAGG